AAGGAAGGAAGGAAGGAAGGAAGGAAGGAAGGAAGGAAGGAAGGAAGGAAGGAAGGAAGGAAGGAAGGAAGGAAGGAAGGAAGGAAGGAAGGAAGGAAGGAAGGAAGGAAGGAAGGAAGGAAGGAAGGAAGGAAGGAAGGAAGGAAGGAAGGAAGGAAGGAUCUCUGAGUCGUUUUGUUUAGGCAGUAAGUUCUAAUCCUUUCAGGGCUCUUUCCUUUAAAUGAGCAUUUUAAUCUUUUGGAAGAUUAUAUUUGCAUCAGUUAUUUUAGACCCGAUAAAAUAUAAUAAUUCUGAAACUAGUGAGUUAAAGAAACAUCAGAUGAAAAAUAAAACAACAGAAGAAUGCAAGGAAGGAUUAUGGUCAAUACGAGGCCCCGUGUUAUUGCUUUUUCCCCAGGGAUGAAACAAAUUAUAAAAUGAAAUCUUA